AACGUACGCUGGCGGCACGCCUAACACAUGCAAGUCGAGCGAGGUAGCAAUACCUAGCGGCAGACGGGUGCGUAACAUGUGGGAAUCUGCCUUUUGGUUCGGAACAACACGGGGAAACCUGUGCUAAUACCGGAUAAGUCCUUACGGAGAAAGUUUUAAUGCCAAAAGAUGAGCCCGCAUUUGAUUAGCUAGUUGGUGAGGUAAAAGCUCACCAAGGCGAUAAUCAAUAGCUGAUUUGAGAGGAUGAUCAGCCACACUGGGACUGAGAUACGGCCCAGACUCCUACGGGAGGCGGCAGUGGGGAAUCUUGCACAAUGGGCGAAAGCCUGAUGCAGCGAUGCCGCGUGAGUGAAGAAGGCCUUUGGGUUGUAAAGCUCUUUUGUCGGGAAAGAUAAUGACUGUACCCGAAGAAUAAGGUCCGGCUAACUUCGUGCCAGCAGCCGCGGUAAUACGAAGGGACCUAGCGUAGUUCGGAAUUACUGGGCGUAAAGAGUAUGUAGGCGGCUAGAUAAGUUAAUUGUGAAAGCCCAAAGCUUAACUUUGGAAUUGCAAUUAAAACUAUUUAGCUGGAGUAUGAUAGAGGAAAGCGGAAUACAUAGUGUAGAGGUGAAAUUCGUAGAUAUUAUGUAGAACACCAGUUGCGAAGGCGGCUUUCUGGAUCAUUACUGACGCUGAGAUACGAAAGUAUGGGUAGCGAAGAGGAUUAGAUACCCUCGUAGUCCAUACCAUAAACGAUGAUUAUUAGAUGUGGGGAAUUAUUUCUCUGUAUCAUAGCUAACGCGUUAAAUAAUCCGCCUGGGGAGUACGACCGCAAGGUUAAAACUCAAAUGAAUUGACGGGGACCCGCACAAGCGGUGGAGCAUGUGGUUUAAUUCGAAGCAACGCGCAGAACCUUACCAACCCUUGACAUGUUCGUCGCGAGACUAAGAAAUUGUCUCU
rnacentral:rRNA from 1 species